GAUGAACUGAGAAAAUGGCAGAGGAAUCAUAGGAAGGACAGUUUCUAGGCACCCUCUGCUCCCUGGUCAGCUGUGUGUGGCUGAGGAGAGUCUUUCCCUGCAUGAAAACAUUCCUUUUUCUAUGUUCUAUUUUCUAAAGUCCCUCCCAGCUCUAAAGAAUCUCCCAGCGCUGACAUUCUGUGACUAUGUCAUUCCUUUGAGAACACUUGACUGGAAGACUGAGGGUGGAGGCAGGGCUGGAAAACAUGUUAUUGUGGAAAGUGCUGGAUUUCAGGGAAGCUAGCUACAAAGCCCAGCUCCCUAUCGCCUGUUUGGUCUCAAGUUGGUCCCUUCCUUUCUCGGAGACCGUUUCCUCCUCAAUAAAACAAUGAGGUUGAACCA